CUCGGGCUCACCGCGUUGCACCUGCUCGGCAGCGACGGGCGGCCAGGCCUCAGAGUUCAGCUGCCGCUGGGUCCCCCAGCCCUCGGGAGGGCUCACCCUGGCACUGAGCCCGACAUUAAUAACACGAUUCAAGAAGAAAGCAGUAUCCGUUUGACAUCUGUCGGGAGCUAUUUGGAGAGGUGCAGACUACACGAUCCUCCUCACCCCAUCACAACAGCCUCCGGACAGAGGGCCAGCGUGGAAGGCCUUUUCAGUCUAAAACUCGAGUCACAGCUGAUUGGACAACCGGGGAACUCUCGCCCUACGAUGAACCAAUGAGAACCCUGAUCCCGUGAACUUGAGUCUGUCCACGCUGUCCGUAAUCGGUGCUGGGCUCCACAACUUGACGGCCACCUAGAGCUGAGGAUGAUGUUGGCGCCCUGACUAACCCAAGUUCCACAAAAUCCAAAACAAUGGGGAAGCAGAAAAGCAAGAAAGAAAGGAAAAGGGAAAGUACGGGCAAAGCAGGGGAGAGGAGAGGAGGGCCAGAGGAGGGCAGGGGAGGGAGCUCAGUUUGUGAAUUUUUAGUUCCCAGGAGCUUUGUUCUUGCUUUUGAAAAUCUUGGAAGAAAUCAGAAGGCCGUGUCUUCAGCACCUACCGUUUGUCAGACCCUGACUGUUCUUUGCAAUACAGAUACAGAAGUAAAUAAAAGAAAAACAUCGCAAAGUACUGAAGUCAAGAAGGAUAAUCAUAACGAAUACAUAAGCAAGUAAUUACGAUGAAGGGCAGCAAAUGCAGCUGUAGAGGGCUGAAGCUGGGGAGAAUUCGUCUCUGGCUUCUGGAAUCUCGUCUGAAACUUCUAAUUAAUGUAAUGCCCGAGUGUCCCUCGUCCCUUGUCGCUCCACGCCGAGAUGUCCUGUGGCACUGCCGUCCCACAGUGGGAGGAGGCAGCCAGAGGAGAAUUCAAGAGCGAGUCCCCGUCCUGCUGAUUGAGGAACACGGGCUCAGUCUUUCUGAAGUUAGUUAUUUAACCCAUAAAACGAAGGCCAGGGGCACCUGCCUCAUAGGGCGGCUCUGAUAACUUAAUAAAGAGCGCACACAGAGAGGGAAUGCAGGCCAGGGCCUAGACGGCUGUCCUCAAGUUAGAAAUGGUGUUGGCGGGGGCUGCGACUCAGAACAGGGCCAGUUUGUUCUUAAAUUCUUUGAAUUUUUAGCAAGAUGGCUGAGGUUUCUUUCAUCUUCUCCUUCUCCUUCUCCUUCUCCGUACCAGGGAUCAAACUGAGGACCCUGAGACUGCCGGGCAGGUGCAGCACCACUGAGCUCCAUCCCUGGCCCUGGCCUCAGUGUCUGACCCUCACCUAGAAGGCUGUGCCCGCUGAGACUUCAGAUGCUUCCCCAGUGUCCCACACGCAGGCCCGGGGCCCACUGAUCCUCCUGGUGCCCGCCGAGGGGGCCCCGGGCUGCACGAAGACAGUGAGGCUCUGGAGCAGCAGCGGAACAAGCUCAUGGUCUGGCAGGGAGCACAGAGGUGGGGGCAGCUGCGAUGUCAUCAGUGUUGUAAAGGUCGGGGACACUCAGGUCUGGGAAGGUGAGGUGUGUUAAGAAAUAAGCCAGGGUGAAGGAACCCUUCUCCAUUGUCGGUGGGAGUGAAGACUGGUGCAACCACUGUGGAAGUCAGUGUGGAGAUUCCUCAAAGAGCUGGGACUAGAGGUUCCGUUUGACCCAGCCAUCCCUCUGCUGGGUAUCUUUCCAAAAGAAUUAAACAAAUCAUACCACAGUGAUAUAUGCGCACCCAUGUUUAUAGCGGCACAGUUUGUAAUAGCGAAAACUUGGAAACAGCCCAUCUGCCCAUCAGUUGGAGACUGGAUAAAGAAGAUGUGGUUUUCCUAUAAAAUGGAGUACUACUCAGCCAUAAAGAAUGGGAAACUAGAGACAUUUAUAGCUAAACGGAUGCACACUGAGCCAUACUCUUCAGUGAAAUAAAUAGGACACACGAGUAAAUACCGAAUAAUUUCUCUGGUGUGAAAAACUAAAAGUGUAAAUAAGGUUCAAAUGGUAUAAUCGAGAGUGUGAAAUAGGAAGAAAAUGGCUAAAACAGAAGUGGGAAGGGCAGGGGAAAGGAAAUAAGGGAAAAGAAAAAUGUGAAAGAAUGAAAAAAUGGAAACAAAAUCUUUCUAAAUAGGGAAGGAUGAAGGGGGUAAAGGGAGGUUAAGGGUAUG
rnacentral:lncRNA from 1 species